GUUUGGCGCGUUAGGGAUGGAAGCGGCAUCCUUUUACGUCGCAGCGCAGCGGAGCCGUAAAAGAUAGAGCGGAUAGCCCGGCCAAAG
rnacentral:sRNA from 1 species